rnacentral:rRNA from 1 species
UACGUGGGGGGCAAGCGUUGUCCGGAUUUAUUGGGCGUAAAGAGCGUGUAGGCGGCUUUACAGGUCCGUUGUGAAAACUCGAGGCUCAACCUCGAGACGCCGGUGGAAACCGUAAAGCUAGAGUCCGGAAGAGGAGAGUGGAAUUCCUGGUGUAGCGGUGAAAUGCGCAGAUAUCAGGAAGAACACCCGUGGCGAAGGCGGCUCUCUGGGACGGUACUGACGCUGAGACGCGAAAGCGUGGGGAGCGAACAGG